ACGGAGGGAGCUAGCGUUGUUCGGAAUUACUGGGCGUAAAGCGCACGUAGGCGGCUUUGUAAGUCAGAGGUGAAAGCCUGGAGCUCAACUCCAGAACUGCCUUUGAGACUGCAUCGCUUGAAUCCAGGAGAGGUGAGUGGAAUUCCGAGUGUAGAGGUGAAAUUCGUAGAUUUUCGGAAGACCACCAGUGGCGAAGGCGGCUCACUGGACUAUUUUUGCCGCUGAUGUGCAAAAGCGUCGCUAGCAAACAG
rnacentral:rRNA from 1 species